rnacentral:rRNA from 1 species
GAUGAACGCUGGCGGCGUGCUUAACACAUGCAAGUCGAACGAAGCACUUUAUUUGAUUUCCUUCGGGACUGAUUAUUUUGUGACUGAGUGGCGGACGGGUGAGUAACGCGUGGGUAACCUGCCUUGUACAGGGGGAUAACAGUUGGAAACGGCUGCUAAUACCGCAUAAGCGCACGGCAUCGCAUGAUGCAGUGUGAAAAACGCCGGUGGUAUAAGAUGGACCCGCGUUGGAUUAGCUAGUUGGUGAGGUAACGGCCCACCAAGGCGACGAUCCAUAGCCGACCUGAGAGGGUGACCGGCCACAUUGGGACUGAGACACGGCCCAAACUCCUACGGGAGGCAGCAGUGGGGAAUAUUGCACAAUGGGCGAAAGCCUGAUGCAGCGACGCCGCGUGAGCGAAGAAGUAUUUCGGUAUGUAAAGCUCUAUCAGCAGGGAAGAUAAUGACGGUACCUGACUAAGAAGCACCGGCUAAAUACGUG